rnacentral:rRNA from 1 species
UGUGCAAAGGGUAGCAUAAUCAUUAGUCUUUUAAUUGAGGACUGGAAUGAAGGGGUAAACCGGAAUAGACUUUUUUGAGAUAAAAAGUGAAGUUGACUUUUUAGUAAGAAGGCUAAAAUAACUCUUAAAGACAAGAAGACCCUAUAAAACUUUAUAUUUACUACUUUCAGAGAAGGAAAUAAAUAUUUUGCUGGGGCGGUAGGAGAAAAUAACUUUUCUUGAAUUCAAAAGACUUAAUAAGUUUUAAUAUCUAAAAUUUUUAAAGGAAGAAUAAGUUACUUUAGGGAUAACAGCUUAAUUCACUUUUAAAGACCUAAUUGACAAGUGAGUUUAUGACCUCGAUGUUGAAUUAAAAGUCCUCUUUGGCGCAAAAGCCUAAAAAGGAGGUCUGUUCGACCUUUAAACUUUUCCAUGAUCUGAGUCAAAACCCGGUGA